AGGAGCAAUAGCCCUAGUGGCGGGGCCAGCUCUGGAAACCUGGAUUCAGCCCCUGCAGGAACUCCGGAGCUCUCCGUCUGCAGGGCCUGGAGGCUCCGGGGCGGG
rnacentral:pre_miRNA from 1 species